UACGUAGGGGGCAAGCGUUGUCCGGAUUUAUUGGGCGUAAAGCGUCCGCAGGUGGCUAUUCAAGUCUGCUGUCAAAGCUCGGAGCUUAACUCCGAAUCGGCGGUGGAAACUGAACAGCUAGAGUGCAGUAGGGGUAGAGGGAAUUCCCAGUGUAGCGGUGAAAUGCGUAGAGAUUGGGAAGAACACCGGUGGCGAAAGCGCUCUACUGGACUGCAACUGACACUCAGGGACGAAAGCUAGGGGAGCGAAUGGG
rnacentral:rRNA from 1 species